CGGACGAAUCCUCCACGCCGGCCGCCGCUCACGGCUCGUCCGCCUCCUCCACGUCGCCGGCCGCCACCAGCCGGCCUCCUCGACGUCGCUGCCCGCUCCCUAACCUGCUGAAAGAAGAGCAAGAUGGAAUCAGAAAGUAAGAAUCAACCCAAAGCAAAUUGGGAUGCAAUUGCCACCCAAGCAUUUUGCGAGAUUUGUGCUCAAGAGAAGCAAGAUGGUAACAUACCAACAACAUUUUUGAGCAACACGGGUUACAAAAACCUAGAGAUGAAGUUUUUCCAAAAAAAAACUAGAAGAGCUUACACUAGAAAACAAUUCAAAAACCAAUGGGAUGCGAUGAAAUCUUUGUACUUGGCAUGGAAGUACUAUAGAACUCACGCAACCGGACUUGGUUGGGACCCCGAGAAGAUGACAUUUACAGCUGAUGAUGCAUGGUGGAAGGAGAUAAUAGCGGCCAACAAGUUGUGUGCUAGUUUUCGUGAAGGACCUCCACCACAUUUGAAAGAACUAGAGAUUAUGUUUUCUAAAGCUCAUGUUGAUGGCAUGACUUCUUUCAUGCCCGGGGCUGCCACCAAUGUGAAUGAGGUGGUAUAUGAGGAGGAUGAAGAACUUUAAAAUCGAGUCUUCUUCAACACUAUGAAGACAAAUGAAGGAAAAAAAAUGUGGUUAACGAGGAUGUACCAAGAUAGGAAGAAGAAUUAGCUCACCUAUGUUCCUAUCAUGUAUCUUGCAAUUUCAAAUUGUUAGUUUCCAUUUGCAUUGAACAAGUAUUGUCGGUUGUAAUAUCUAAACCCGGAUGUAUGCACUCAUUUGGACGUCUUGUUUGGAUAUUUGCUGCUGUAUGUUGCUG